GAUGAACGCUAGCGGCAGGCUUAACACAUGCAAGUCGAGGGGUAGAGGUUGCUUGCAACCUUGAGACCGGCGCACGGGUGCGUAACGCGUAUGCAACCUACCUUUUACAGAGGGAUAGCCCAGAGAAAUUUGGAUUAAUACCUCAUAGUAUAUAACCUUCGCAUGUUGGUUAUAUUAAAGUUUCAACGGUAAAAGAUGGGCAUGCGUCCUAUUAGCUAGAUGGUAAGGUAACGGCUUACCAUGGCAACGAUAGGUAGGGGUCCUGAGAGGGAGAACCCCCACACGGGUACUGAGACACGGACCAGACUCCUACGGGAGGCAGCAGUGAGGAAUAUUGGACAAUGGGCGCAAGCCUGAUCCAGCCAUGCCGCGUGCAGGAAGAAGCAUCUAUGGUGUGUAAACUGCUUUUGUACAGGAAGAAACACCCCGACGUGUCGGGACUUGACGGUACUGUAAGAAUAAGGAUCGGCUAACUCCGUGCCAGCCGCCGCGGUAACAC
rnacentral:rRNA from 1 species